rnacentral:rRNA from 1 species
AACGAACGCUGGCGGCGUGGAUAAGACAUGCAAGUCGAACGAGGAAUUUUUAAGCUUGCUUUGAAAUUCCUAGUGGCGAACGGGUGAGUAACACGUGAGUUACCUGCCCCAAAGUCGGGGACAGCCCGGGGAAACCCGGAUUAAUACCGGAUGUGAUCGUAAGAUUAAAGAGGCUUCGGCCUCGCUUUGGGAUGGGCUCGCGGCCUAUCAGCUUGUUGGUGAGGUAACGGCUCACCAAGGCGAUGACGGGUAGCUGGUCUGAGAGGAUGAUCAGUCACACUGGAACUGAGACACGGUCCAGACACCUACGGGUGGCAGCAGUCGAGAAUCAUUCACAAUGGGGGCAACCCUGAUGGUGCGACGCCGCGUGGAGGACGAAGGCCCUAGGGUCGUAAACUCCUGUCAUCAAGGAGUAAGGACUUCACCAGGAAAAUGGGUGGGGUAUUGAUAGUACCUGAAGAGGAAGGACGGCU